ACAACAGUGUUGUUCGCCUUUUUCUACUACCUAAGUCUAACCAACCACAUACCUUUGUUGUUGUUACUCUCGAUCCACCUAUCCGUAAAGGCCAAACUUUGUACCCACAUAUUGUCUUGCAGUUUGAAACAGACUAUGUGGUUGAAAGCACCCUGUCAAUGACUGAAGAUCUUUUGAAUAGCAAAUACAAGGACAAGUUAGAACCAUCAUAUAAG